CCCUUGUCUUUUUUCUAUUUCCUCUUCACAGGUCAGUCACAGUGUCCAUUAUUCUCUCCCCCUUUCAUUUUUUUUUUUCUUUCUUCCUCAUUCUUCUUAAAGCUCCACGCCAACACCAUGGAUCACGCUGUUGUGGUGGUGGUGGUGGGUCACGCCGUUGAUCACGCCGUUUCCGUUGGUUUCUGUGGAUCAAACCGUAGGUGUGCGAUGGUGGUGCAGUGGACGGCGGCGUGCGUGUGCGGUGUUGGUUUGGGUUGCUGUCCUGCUGGGUUUUGUGGGUUUCCCAUCUAUUGGUGGUUGAUUUUGGGUCAUGGGUUUGUGGGUUUCAUAUGGGUUUGUGUUUGAUAUGGGUUUUGUUUGGUUUUCCAAUUUGUGGUGGUGGUGAUUAAGUGGGUUUUGUGGUGGUGGUGGUUGUUGUUAUGGGUUUGUGGUGGUGGUUGUUAUUGUUGUUGUUGUUGUUUUUUUUUUUUAAUCAGAGUUGUGGUGAUGGUGAUUAAGGUGAGUUUGUGGUGGUGGUGGUUGUUGUUCACAAGGAGUGGGUGGCAAGGGAAAAUGGGGCCACCCCAGUGGUGGCUCGCGGCGGCAGCUAUUGGUUGAACCAUGAAGUUUUGGCCAUGGCAGUGGUGUUGGUGGCUUGUGUUGAGCUUUGAUGCUGCGGCCAUGGAGGUCGUGGGUUUGAUUCAGAGAUGGAGAGAUCAGGUGAGGAGAGAAGAGAAGAGAGGCUUGAGGCUUAAUCUUUUUGCUUAAAAAAAGAAAAAGGUGACGUGGCGGGUCAGGAUUGGCUUCUCUUUAUUUUUUUUCUAUUAUUAAAAAGAAAUUUAUCUUUCUCAUUUUUUUAACAAAGCAAGUGAGUCAUCUCUUUCACUUUCCUCCCAACUAAAAUCAACGAAAGAAAACUAAAUUCCUUUUAUUGAAGUGUAGGUUUCUGUUGGGUAAUUGUCAAACGUUUCAGCUUUCCUUAAAUAAUUUCUUUCUCUGUUUUCCUCUUCAACUGACUGUCCCUCUCUCUCUCUUCAUCUCAUCGACCAUGACAACGUGAUCCUCAAGUUGAUUGAAGAGUAAUCAGUCUGGGUUAGUAAGGGAAACAGUGAAGGUUGGAAGGCCAAGUUGUUUCAAGCAGCUUUUGAAGGCUUUCAUGUUGAUGGGCUGUCACCUAGUACUUUUCCUAUGGUAAAAAAAAUAUCAGCCUCCUCAGGUCCUUGUCCUUGAUGACACAGGCCACAUUUCUUUGCCAGAUUUAUGCUUGGGUCUGCCAGAUUUGGGAAUUGGCUCAACCUUUAGUGAUGGGUUCGAUUUGGGUUCUUCUUCAAUGGCCCAGAACUUUGUCAAUGAUGAUGAUUCUUCUGACUUCAAUUUGUAUCCACCAUUGAAGAAAAUGAGAACAUCUUGAUCGAACUUGGAAGAAAUAUGCCUCCAGCUGAAAACAACCUUGAAACAAGUUUCUUCACUAUUUCCAUUUGAUUUCUUUUGCAUUUGAUGCCAAGGUAUGUCUCUUUUUUAAGUUGCAUUGUUUCAUUUGCAUCUUUGGAUACUUGUUCAUUGGAUUGGAUACCAACCUAAUUUGAAUAAAAACUAACACAAAGAAAAUGCAAAAUUGAUGAAAGAAAUUAAUCAUGUGAUUUGUUGCUAAAUUUUAUGUCUUUUAAGGGUAAAAGUUGUUUACCAAAAUUAUUCUAUAAAAAAAUCGAUGAAUUUGUAGAAGACAGUGGACAAGUAAAAUAUUAAUAGCUACUAACCAUACAAAGAUUUGGAUUUGGGCCUAAAAUGUAUUGUUAAAAAUGAAACCAACAGGUUACAGACCCAAUGGAACCUCCUUCCACAUAAUUACAAUAUUGAAGACGAGGUCUUUCAAUUGUUAGACAAAUUAUAAAAAUAAGCCUUUACAUGUUCAUUGCAUAAUCACUCUGAUAAUGAAGUUACUCAUACUUGAUGGAUUUGAAUUUUUAGUUCUAAUCCAUUACUCCAUUGUUGGAGGCCGUAUCAUUUAAUUUUGGUAUAAUAUGUGAGUAUUAUGAUUUGGGUCCAUUAGUCUGUUACUAGUCACCGUGAAUCGGCCUCUCCCAAAAAAAAAAAAAAAAAUAGGAGUAAAAAAAAAAAAAGGCUGCCUACGAAUCACCUCUUCUAGACCCCACGAAAGUGGGAGCUUUGUGGACUGGGGACCUUCCCUUUUUUAUUUUUUAUUUUUUAUUUUUUUUAAGUCUGGUACUAGUCAGCACCAAUUCUAAAAUUCAAACUUCAGUAGGCAUGACCAUAUGCUUAUGCCAUCCUCAAUUUCACAGAGCAAGAAGUUUUUGAAAUGGAUUUGAAUUUGCCAAUAGUCGUAGGUUCAAGGUCCUUUAAACGCACCAUUACAUUUUAAAAGCUUUCUUUUUGAAAUUGUUGCUGAUAGAUUGUCUCAAAUUUCAUAAUCUUGUAAAAAUGUUGGGAAUUUUAAGUAGAUUUCAGAUAUUACAUCUAGUUUGCUAUGAAUGAUCUCAUCUCCAUUAUGGUUGGAAUUGGUGGACGACAUAUCUUAAUCUAAAGAGUGCAUGGAAAGGAGGAUAAUGUUACCUUCUAGGUUGAUCAAUCAGUGGAUUUAGCACUUUGGAAUGAUUUAGGGAGGUCUCUAAUCGGGUGGCAACAACAAUUUAUUUCGUUAGACUUAUUUGUUAUUAUGUUGUUAAUAAAGCUCUUUUGUUUUGUCUUCUUACUUGGGCAUGCUAUUUUGUAGCUUUGACUAUGAGUGAAAUGUGUCUUUGCUAUUGA